AAAAAUCCCUCAAACUCCUUGAAUUUUAGAUCUAGGAAACUUUAGCCGCCACUUUUUGGUCCAAAUUCUUGAAGCUCCGGCCAACACCACCCUACAACACAUACAUGAAUGGAUAGAGCUCCACGAGACCUAUCUUUUCCUACCCAUUUCAUCCCCAAAAUCCCCGUCGUCGCCGACCCGCUCCUCACCGCCGCCACGACUCCACUGCCUCACCACCGCCAAAAUGCCCCGAACCCCCAUCUUAGCUAUUUUCUACUCAAAGACACUCAUUUCUUUUGGCGAGAAGCUGGAACGCAUUUCGUUUUAGCAUCUACCCGAAAGAAACGUGCUUUUCGGAGUCGGGUAGUCGCCUUUUAGCAUCUCCGACGUCUUCUCGUGGCUCGAACAGCUUCAAGCAUACUUGUUAGUCAAAAAGCAAGAACCAACCACAUGUCAUCAAGUGGCUUAAAAUGGCAUGGGCCAAUCAGAAUCAAGCAAGAGAGUUCAUGUGUAGCUGGACUGUCCAUCCUCUACAACUAUAAAUAGAGGGGUUGCAUAACUCUCAAGACAUUCAGAGUUGGAGAAAAACACUUCGCAAUUGGUGAAGGCAUCCACAAACAGAGAGAUCAGUCAUCAAGUGCAUAGUUCUUCAACAAAGGAGUGAUCAACGGAGUUCUUCCCGGAGAUCAACCCGUAACAACAAAGUGCUGCUCAACGUUCUUGGCGAUUAAAUAUAUCACAAGGAGGUCUGCAUCGCCCUACAUUCGAGAAAGACGCUUCUCAAGCCCUCGAAUCAUUUUAGAGAGGAGAAUCAAGGGAUACAUAGAAUUGUACUCACAAAUAUUUAUCAAUAAAAUCUCUUUUUCUUCAUAUUA